CCCUUAGAUGUUCUGGGCCGCACACGCGCUACACUGAAGGAGGCAGCGUGUACUCCUGGAUCGAAAGAUUUGGGUAACCCGCGAAUCUCCUUCGUGCCAGGGAUUGAGGUUUGCAAUUAUCCUUCAUGAACGAGGAAUUCCCAGUAAGUGCAAGUCAUAAGCUUGCGCUGACUACGUCCCUGCCCUUUGUACACACCGCCCGUCGCUACUACCGAUUGAAUGAUUUAGUGAGGACUUCGGACUGGGACCGAUGCGGCUUUCGGGCUGCGUCGGUAUUCUGGAAAGAUGUCCAAACUGUAUCAUUUAGAGGAAGUAAAANUCGUAACA
rnacentral:rRNA from 1 species